rnacentral:rRNA from 1 species
GAACAUACCCCUCGGUUCGGAAUAGCUCAGGGAAACUUGAAUUAAUACCGAAUACGGUCGAGAGGCGAAAGAUUUAUCGCCGAGGGAUUGGCCCGCGUCCGAUUAGCUAGUUGGUGAGGUAAUGGCCCACCAAGGCGACGAUCGGUAGCUGGUCUGAGAGGAUGAUCAGCCACAUUGGGACUGAGACACGGCCCAAACUCCUACGGGAGGCAGCAGUGGGGAAUAUUGGACAAUGGGCGCAAGCCUGAUCCAGCCAUGCCGCGUGAGUGAUGACGGCCUUAGGGUUGUAAAGCUCUUUCGUCAGGGACGAUAAUGACGGUACCUGAAGAAGAAGCCCCGGCUAACUUCGUGCCAGCAGCCGCGGUAAUACGAAGGGGGCUAGCGUUGUUCGGAAUUACUGGGCGUAAAGCGCGUGUAGGCGGGUCUUUAAGUCAGGGGUGAAAUGCCAGGGCUCAACCUUGGAACUGCCUUUGAUACUGGAGAUCUUGAGUCCGGGAGAGGUGAGUGGAACUGCGAGUGUAGAGGUGAAAUUCG